AUUGAACGCUGGCGGCAGGCCUAACACAUGCAAGUCGAACGAGUGGCGGACGGGUGAGUAAUGUCUGGGCAACUGCCUGAUGGAGGGGGAUAAAUACUGGAAACGGUAGCUACUACCGCAUACCAUCAGAUGUGCCCAGAUGGGAUUAGCUAGUUGGUGGGGUAACGGCUCACCAAGGCGACGAUCCCUAGCUGGUCUGAGAGGAUGACCAGCCACACUGGAACUGAGACACGGUCCAGACUCCUACGGGAGGCAGCAGUGGGGAAUAUUGCACAAUGGGCGCAAGCCUGAUGCAGCCAUGCCGCGUGUAUGAAGAAGGCCUUCGGGUUGUAAAGUACUGUCAGCGGGGAGGCGUGACCCAAAGAAGAAGCACCGGCUAACUCCGUGCCAGCAGCCGCGGUAAUUC
rnacentral:rRNA from 1 species